CCAGCUUGCUGGGUUGGAUGAGUGGCGAACGGGUGAGUAACACGUGAGUAACCUGCCCCCUUCUUUGGGAUAACGGUCGGAAACGGCUGCUAAUACCGGGUAUUCACUGUCCUUCGCAUGGGGGGUGGUGGAAAGGUUUUUUCUGGUGGGGGAUGGGCUCGCGGCCUAUCAGCUUGUUGGUGGGGUGAUGGCUUACCAAGGCUUUGACGGGUAACCGGCCUGAGAGGGUGACCGGUCACAUUGGGACUGAGAUACGGCCCAAACUCCUACGGGAGGCAGCAGUGGGGAAUAUUGCACAAUGGGCGGAAGCCUGCUGCAGCGACGCCGCGUGAGGGAUGAUGGCCUUCGGGUUGUAAACCUCUUUCGCUCAUGGUCAAGCCGCAACAGUGGUUGUGGUGAGGGUAGUGGGUAAAGAAGCACCGGCUAACUACGUGCCAGCAGCCGCGGUAAUACGUAGGGUGCGAGCGUUGUCCGGAAUUAUUGGGGGUAAAGGGCUUGUAGGCGGUUUGUCGCGUCUGCCGUGAAAUCCUCUUGGCAUUAACUGGGGGCGUGCGGUGGGUACGGGCAGGCUU
rnacentral:rRNA from 1 species